GAAUCAGGCCAAGACACAGAAAUAUACUGCAUGCCAAAAUGUAAAGGUGACAUGAGUGAUCAAAAGAGAGGGAAAGUGAAAGGUCAAGGGAGAAACUCUCAGCAUGUAGGUACAGAACCAUUUCCAUGAGGUCAGCUACAUUCCAAAGUGGCUGCGGCACUGGAUGGGAGCUGUUGGGACAUGCUGCACAGCCCAAGACAGUCUUUGAAGAUGAGGAAACUGAGGCACACAGAGAUGAAAAACUGUCCAGGUGGUUGAGCCAGAAUUGAAAUGUUGGCUGUCUUCAUCUGGAGCCCACACUUUCUACCUUCCUGUUGUGUUCUUUAUGAUUCCAACAUGCUGCCACUGACCCGUUGGCCAUAAGUGACUCAAAGUGUUUUCCUGCAUGAGUGCAGGAUUUGUGCCAGCCUCUCCAUGCCUCCUCCCUUGUCCAACCUCAUGACCCCUUCAGCAUGGACUUCUAGGACAAGGUGUGGACUUUGGCAGACCUAAAAUGUUUCGGAAAGGAAGCUGGUGCUUUGGGGGCAGUGAUGGCUGGAUGCAUGACCUUGUCAUAUACGUAAAACAUCCACAGACUAACUGGAAAAGGACUUCACCUCAGCCAAAGGCCUUCAAGAGGAUCAAUAUUUCCAGGAUGUUGGUAUUAGCAUCCAUUGUUCGCUGGCUAGAUCUUUUCCAACAGAGCAUGUGACUCUCAUCAUUACAGCAGAGGAAUGCAUUUAUCAAAGUUAAGGAAGUCGUUUGCCAUUCGGAUGGCCCAAGAAGCAUAAAUAUUUAUCAUUGAGCCUUGUGAGAACUCUCUAUUAUAAAAAGAUUGGCUAAUUUCUUAAAACUACUCCUUCAAUAAGGACCCAGGUUAUGUGCCAUGGUAUCUGUAGCUUUCUGGCUGGGUCAGGGUGACCCGCACACAACCCUGGCAGGACGCCCUUGGACACAGUAUUUGCAUCCCUUUGGUGUGCCAAGGUAUCAAGCAUUCACAGUUCACAUUGAAACCACUAAACGAAGAGCUGUGCAAACAGGUCAUCAGUUUCUCCAGAGGGGAAUAAUCUUACAACUGUUACGAAGGGUCAAAGGUAACUUUCAUUUUGAGAUGCUAAUUACUCCAAGAAUUUGAUGCAGGAGGCAGCUGGUUAAAAUGAAUGAGUGCUGAAGCGUUGAAGGGGAAAAUCAAAUAGAUGGUUAUAAUAAAAGUGCAAUAUGCAACCUAAUAAGUAUGCAGAGAAUAAGGGACAAUAUUGUUAAUAAACAUCUAUUAGUC
rnacentral:lncRNA from 1 species